GAUGAAGAACGUAGCGAAAUGCGAUACGUAAUGUGAAUUGCAGAAUUCAGUGAAUCAUCGAAUCUUUGAACGCAUAUUGCGCUCUCUGGUAUUCCGGAGAGCAUGCUUGUUUGAGUAUCAGUAAACACCUCAACUUCCAUAUCUUUUUUGAAAUGGGAGUUGGACUUGAGUGAUCCCAACGCUUUUCCUCACCGAAAAGUGGCGGGUUACUUGAAAUGCAGGUGCAGCUGGACUUUUCUCUGAGCUAUAAGCAUAUCUAUUUAGUCUGCCUAAAAAACAGAUUAUUACCUUUGCUGCAGCUAACAUAAAGGAGAUUAGUUCUUGUGCUGACUGAUGCAGGAUUCACAAAGACAGGCUUCGGCCGACUUUGUAAACUCGAUCUCAAAUCAAGUAAGACUACCCGCUGAACUUAAGCAUAUCAAUAACGGAGGA
rnacentral:misc_RNA from 1 species